AGAGUUUGAUCCUGGCUCAGAUUGAACGCUGGCGGCAGGCCUAACACAUGCAAGUCGAGCGGCAGCGGAAAGUAGCUUGCUACUUUGCCGGCGAGCGGCGGACGGGUGAGUAAUGUCUGGGGAUCUGCCUGAUGGAGGGGGAUAACUACUGGAAACGGUAGCUAAUACCGCAUAACGUCGCAAGACCAAAGCGGGGGACCUUCGGGCCUCGCGCCAUCAGAUGAACCCAGAUGGGAUUAGCUAGUAGGUGGGGUAAUGGCUCACCUAGGCGACGAUCCCUAGCUGGUCUGAGAGGAUGACCAGCCACACUGGAACUGAGACACGGUCCAGACUCCUACGGGAGGCAGCAGUGGGGAAUAUUGCACAAUGGGCGCAAGCCUGAUGCAGCCAUGCCGCGUGUAUGAAGAAGGCCUUCGGGUUGUAAAGUACUUUCAGCGAGGAGGAAGGCAGUAAGGUUAAUAACCUUAUUGAUUGACGUUACUCGCAGAAGAAGCACCGGCUAACUCCGUGCCAGCAGCCGCGGUAAUACGGAGGGUGCAAGCGUUAAUCGGAAUUACUGGGCGUAAAGCGCACGCAGGCGGUUUGUUAAGUCAGAUGUGAAAUCCCCGAGCUUAACUUGGGAACUGCAUUUGAAACUGGCAAGCUAGAGUCUUGUAGAGGGGGGUAGAAUUCCAGGUGUAGCGGUGAAAUGCGUAGAGAUCUGGAGGAAUACCGGUGGCGA
rnacentral:rRNA from 1 species